AAAAAUGUUAGAAUUGUUUCAAAAUUAUCUAAAAAAUAGGUCUUUAAAGCUACUUUCGAUAGAGCCGCAGAGAAUAUCAUUGUUUAUUGUUCGAUUAAAUGACAAGGAUGACAUCUAGGAAACACCCAGAUGAGAAUCCGAUGACAAUUGUAGAUAUUUUAUCGAAAUAAAAUAAGAUAAUAAUUAA